GAAACGGAAAUUAAUACUCCAUACAAUUACGAAGUGGCAUCACUUUCAGAUUAAAGCUACGGCGGUAAAAGAUGGGCAUGCGUAACAUUAGCUAGUUGGUGAGGUAAAGGCUCACCAAGGCGACGAUGUUUAGGGGUCCUGAGAGGGUUAUCCCCCACACUGGUACUGAGACACGGACCAGACUCCUAGCGGGAGGCAGCAGUGAGGAAUAUUGGUCAAUGGGCGCAAGCCUGAACCAGCCAUCCCGCGUGCAGGAAGACGGCCCUAUGGGUUGUAAACUGCUUUUCUGAGGGAAGAAUAACGCUGAUUCGUUCAGUGGACGACGGUACCUCAGGAAUAAGCAUCGGCUAACUCCGUGCCAGCAGCCGCGGUAAUACGGAGGAUGCAAGCGUUAUCCGGAUUCAUUGGGUUUAAAGGGUGCGUAGGCGGACUGGUAAGUCAGUGGUGAAAUCCUGCAGCUUAACUGUGGAAUUGCCAUUGAAACUGUCAGUCUUGAGUCAGGUUGAGGUAGGCGGAAUGUGUAAUGUAGCGGUGAAAUGCAUAGAUAUUACACAGAACACCGACUGCGUAGGCAGCUUACUGGACCUGCACUGACGCUGAGGCACGAAAGCGUGGGGAUCAAACAGGAUUAGAUACCCUGGUAGUCCACGCCGUAAACUAUGAUUACUCGUUGUUGGCAAUACAUCGUCAGCGACCAAGCGAAAGCGAUAAGUAAUCCACCUGGGGAGUACGCUCGCAAGAGUGAAACUCAAAGGAAUUGACGGGGGCCCGCACAAGCGGUGGAACAUGUGGUUUAAUUCGAUGAUACGCAAGGAACCUUACCUGGGCUUAAAUGUAGACUGCAUAGCGUGGAAACAUGCUUUUCUUUUAGACUGUUUACAAGGUGCUGCAUGGUUGUCGUCAGCUCGUGCCGUGAGGUGUCGGGUUAAGUCCCAUAACGAGCGCAACCCUUAUCGUUAGUUGCCAUCGGGUAAAGCCGGGGACUCUAGCGCCACUGCCACCGUAAGGUGAGAGGAAGGUGGGGAUGACGUCAAAUCAGCACGGCCCUUAUGUCCAGGGCUACACACGUGUUACAAUGGUUAGAACGAAGGGCAGCUACCUGGUGAC
rnacentral:rRNA from 1 species